GCGACGUUGGUGUAAUGGUUAGCAUCUACGCUUCCCAUCUUACCUGGUUUGCGUAGGAUUCGAGUUCGAUUCUUGAACGUCGCA